GGAGCGGGAGGGAGUCAGUCCAGCGGCUGGGGCCACCGAGCCUUCUCUCCUCCUCACAGAAGCCGGGGCCGGGCCUCCGAGGUACAGCAGCCCCGAGUCCCGGCGGUCACCUUGGCUUUUAGGCUUCUCACCUGGGGCGGGUGGGUGUCCCCACCCUCCCGCCCUCUUUCUCACGCGCGAGCCCCAGCUGCAUCCAGCACCACGGACAGCUCCCGGGAGGAGGUCCCAUGAUCCCGCACAUUCCUGUCUUGGGAAGUCCUUGCCAGGGCCUAACCCCGAUCUGUAGCGAAGCACCCUUCGACCCUGGGCGCCACGCGGCGACUUUGAGAGACCAAAAAGAAGGAUCUGUGUAUCCAGUAGGUGUGGGCUUGCUCCGAGAAGCCUUCUGGGAUUGACCCAAGGAUGAAGCUCAACUCCAUCAACUGACCCGCUGCUCCAGGAAGCCUCUGAGCAGGAUGGAAUUGGCUAGGCCCUGGCUCCAGCCUGGGUUGCCCAUUCCUCCUGGAGCCACUGGGGAUGGGACUUCUUUCCACGCAUGCUCCCGUGUCUGCCGCUGUCCACCUAGCCCAGCCCGGUCCCCCCCGUGUCGUCUGAGCUGACAGUCCUGAGAUGGGGGUCCCAUCUCCUCUAAUAAAGAUUCCUAAACGUUGA